GUGCUCAAUUUGGCAGCACAUAUAUAAAAAUUAGAAUGAUGCACAGUAGAUGAACAUGGCCCCUGUGCAAGGAUGACCCACAAAUUUGUGAAGCAUUCCAUAUUUUU